rnacentral:lncRNA from 1 species
AAUACCCUCACUUGCAUCAGCCUUUCCCCUUGCGGAUGUCCACCUCCUGCCGAUCUCUGCCAUCAUCUUCUCCCUUGCGAAUGCCCACCUUCCACCGGUCUCUGCUAUCACCUUUCUCCUCACGGAUGCCCUCACAGACAUCGACAUUCCCCCUCCAAUCUCCCUCUAUGCUUUCCUUCCCACAGAUCUCUAACAGAGAGAAAAAAAUAAGAAGGAAAGGAAAAAAAUUUUGAUUAAUCUACAUGGGAAAAGAAAAAUUUUUCCUUUUUCCAUCUUUCUUUUUAUAUUUUUUCUAGUUUUUUCUUCUGUUUUUUCCAUUCUGUAGAGUAACUAAAAGGGAAG